CUCUGUAGCGCAAUGGGUAGCGUGUUGGACUUCUGAUCCAAAGGUCGUGGGUUCGAAUACCCCAUCAGAUAGA